rnacentral:rRNA from 1 species
CACGUAGGGGCGAGCGUUGUCCGGAUUUACUGGGCGUAAAGGGCUCGUAGGUGGCCAACUAAGUCAGACGUGAAAUCCCCAGGCUCAACUUGGGAACUGCGUCUGAUACUGGAUGGCUUGAAUUCGGGAGAGGAUGCAGAAUUCAGGUGUAGCGGUGAAAUGACGUAGAUAUCAGGAGGAAUACCGGUGGCGAAAGCGACUCUCUGGACGGCAACUGACGCUGAGCACGAAAGCGUGGGGAGCAAACAGG